rnacentral:rRNA from 1 species
CUGGCUCACGACGAACGCUGGCGGCGUGCCUAAUACAUGCAAGUCGAGCGAAUCUACGGGAGCUUGCUCCCAAAGGUUAGCGGCGGACGGGUGAGUAACACGUGGGCAACCUGCCUGUAAGACUGGGAUAACUUCGGGAAACCGGAGCUAAUACCGGAUAAUUCUUACCAACACAUGUUGGUAAGCUAAAAGACGGCGCAAGCUGUCACUUGCAGAUGGGCCCGCGGCGCAUUAGCUAGUUGCUAACGUAAUGGCUUACCAAGGCAACGAUGCGUAGCCGACCUGAGAGGGUGAUCGGCCACACUGGGACUGAGACACGGCCCAGACUCCUACGGGAGGCAGCAGUAGGGAAUCUUCCGCAAUGGACGAAAGUCUGACGGAGCAACGCCGCGUGAGUGAUGAAGGUUUUCGGAUCGUAAAACUCUGUUGUUAGGGAAGAACAAGUACGAGAGUAACUGCUCGUACCUUG